rnacentral:pre_miRNA from 1 species
AAUAGGAGAAUGACAAAUCAGAUUUUUUCUCCUAAUGUUCAACUUUUUCCUCAUGAAAAAAAUAUAAAUCUAAUUAAAAAUGCUAAAAAUCAAGAGAAAAAAAAAUCAGAUUUGUCAUUCUCCUAUG